GCCCGGGUGGCGAAAUGGCAGACGCACGGGACUUAAAAUCCCGAGGAGGUCAAACUCCGUGCGGGUUCGAGUCCCGCCCCGGGCA
rnacentral:tRNA from 1 species